rnacentral:rRNA from 1 species
GACGAACGCUGGCGGCGUGCUUAACACAUGCAAGUCGAACGGAAAGGCCCUGCUUUUGUGGGGUGCUCGAGUGGCGAACGGGUGAGUAACACGUGAGUAACCUGCCCUUGACUUUGGGAUAACUUCAGGAAACUGGGGCUAAUACCGGAUAGGAGCUCCUGCUGCAUGGUGGGGGUUGGAAAGUUUCGGCGGUUGGGGAUGGACUCGCGGCUUAUCAGCUUGUUGGUGGGGUAGUGGCUUACCAAGGCUUUGACGGGUAGCCGGCCUGAGAGGGUGACCGGCCACAUUGGGACUGAGAUACGGCCCAGACUCCUACGGGAGGCAGCAGUGGGGAAUAUUGCACAAUGGGCGGAAGCCUGAUGCGGCAACGCCGCGUGCGGGAUGACGGCCUUCGGGUUGUAAACCGCUUUCGCCUGUGGCGAAGCGUGAGUGACGGUAAUGGGUAAAGAAGCACCGGCUAACUACGU